UAGGUAGGUGGUUACGUAUGUCUGAGGUGAAAGCCCCGAGCUUAACUUGGGAAGUGCCUUGGAAACGGCGUAACUAGAGUAUUGGAGAGGUUUGUAGAAUUCCCGGUGUAGCGGUGAAAUGCGUAGAGAUCGGGAGGAAUAUCAGAGGCGAAGGCGACAAACUGGACAAUUACUGACACUAAACUACGAAAGCGUGGGGAGCAAACA
rnacentral:rRNA from 1 species